UCCCUGGUGGUCGAGUGGUUAAGACUCUGUGCUGCCAACACAGGGGGCAUGGGUUUGAACCCUGGUCAGGGAA
rnacentral:tRNA from 1 species